AGUACAAUGAAAUCUAUAACAACGAAUGGACUGCUGCUUUGGAAGAUUUGGCUGAAAGAAUUAACUCAAAAGAGGAGGCUAUAGCUAUAUUGCUGGAUUGUAUGCAGGCAGCCUACAUCUUUUGUAAGGAUGCAGCAUCUUAUCAGAUGGAAAACAUCAAAAAGUCUUUGACAAAUCUGAGUAUUAGAUCAAGAAAUGUCCCGAGCACAAUGUGUACUAUUGAACCGCAAACAGAGAAAAUGUUGGAGAAAAUCAGAAAAUCACAAAAGAUUUCAUCAGAUUUACUUUUUGAGGUAUGUUUUAUC